GUCCAGACUCCUACGGGAGGCAGCAGUGGGGAAUAUUGCACAAUGGGGGAAACCCUGAUGCAGCAACGCCGCGUGAGUGAAGAAGUUAUUCGUGAUGUAAAGCUCUAUCAGCAGGGAAGAAAAUGACGGUACCUGACUAAGAAGCCCCGGCUAACUACGUGCCAGCAGCCGCGGUAAUACGUAGGGGGCAAGCGUUAUCCGGAUUUACUGGGUGUAAAGGGAGCGUAGACGGCGACGCAAGUCUGAAGUGAAAGGCGGGGGCCCAACCCCCGGACUGCUCUGGAAACUGUAUAGCUGGAGUGCAGGAGAGGUAAGUGGAAUUCCUAGUGUAGCGGUGAAAUGCGUAGAUAUUAGGAGGAACACCAGUGGCGAAGGCGGCUUACUGGACUGUAACUGACGUUGAGGCUCGAAAGCGUGGGGAGCAAACAGGAUUAGAUACCCCCGUAA
rnacentral:rRNA from 1 species